rnacentral:misc_RNA from 1 species
GAUGAAGAACGUAGCGAAAUGCGAUAAGUAAUGUGAAUUGCAGAAUUCAGUGAAUCAUCGAAUCUUUGAACGCACAUUGCGCCCGCCAGUAUUCUGGCGGGCAUGCCUGUUCGAGCGUCAUUACAACCCUCAGGCCCCCGGGCCUGGCGUUGGGGAUCGGCGGAAGCCCCCUGCGGGCACAACGCCGUCCCCCAAAUACAGUGGCGGUCCCGCCGCAGCUUCCAUUGCGUAGUAGCUAACACCUCGCAGCUGGAGAGCGGCGCGGCCACGCCGUAAAACUCCCAACUUCUGAAUGUUGACCUCGAAUCAGGUAGGAAUACCCGCUGAACUUAAGCAUAUCAAUAAGCGGAGGA